UCCGGUGACCAUAGCGAAGGAGGUACACCCGUUCCCAUCCCGAACACGGUAGUUAAGCCCUUCAGCGCCGAUGGUACUUGGGAUUUAUCCCUGGGAGAGUAGGUCGUCGCCGGAA
rfam:Peptococcaceae bacterium BRH_c4b BRHa_1005994, whole genome shotgun sequence.